rnacentral:tRNA from 1 species
GGAGAGAUGGCAGAGCGGUCGAAUGCGGCGGUCUUGAAAACCGUUGAUGGGAAACUAUCCAGGGGUUCGAAUCCCUUUCUCUCCGCCA